GGGGGAUUAGAUGAUCGCAUGGUCUUCUGGGAAGCUUUCGCGGUAUGGGAUGGGGUCGCGUCCUAUCAGCUUGACGGCGGGGUAACGGCCCACCGUGGCUUCGACGGGUAGCCGGCCUGAGAGGGCGACCGGCCACAUUGGGACUGAGAUACGGCCCAGACUCCUACGGGAGGCAGCAGUGGGGAAUAUUGCACAAUGGGCGCAAGCCUGAUGCAGCGACGCCGCGUGAGGGAUGGAGGCCUUCGGGUUGUAAACCUCUUUUAUCGGGGAGCAAGCGAGAGUGAGUUUACCCGUUGAAUAAGCACCGGCUAACUACGUGCCAGCAGCCGCGGUAAUACGUAGGGUGCAAGCGUUAUCCGGAAUUAUUGGGCGUAAAGGGCUCGUAGGCGGUUCGUCGCGUCCGGUGUGAAAGUCCAUCGCUUAACGGUGGAUCCGCGCCGGGUACGGGCGGGCUUGAGUGCGGUAGGGGAGACUGGAAUUCCCGGUGUAACGGUGGAAUGUGUAGAUAUCGGGAAGAACACCA
rnacentral:rRNA from 1 species